ACCUGUACCUCUAGUAUUUUUGCUGUCUUAACACUUUAGUCAUGGAUGUUUAACUAUUGCACCAGGUACUGGCAGCGAGCCCAGAUGGCUUAACAGAGCACGUGUGAGCAUGGGUUCGCAGGAGCGUAAGACUGUGCAGAUCUGCAAGUGGGAAUGAUUUAAAGGCAGACAAUGUGAUUUCCAUAUUCUGGUCUACACCAUUUUUCUCAAAGCCUGAGAAGUACUGUGAGAUGCGUGUGAAAAUGAUGAUCCCAUCCUCGGACUGAACCUGCAGCAGCACAGAAGGCCAGAAUCAAAACUGUGUGUAAUAAAAAAGUUCCAUAUCUAAGUCCAUGAGCAAACCUUAUGUGGAUGUAAUUUGAAAGAUGCCCAUCUCCUGUGGCUGUCAGGGAAGAGGUCGUAGGAGUGCUGAAUUCAGUCGGAAUUUUACAGACGUUUGAGGGCCCAGUCUGUUCUAGAGCACUCAGUGU